rnacentral:rRNA from 1 species
GAAUAAGCACCGGCUAACUACGUGCCAGCAGCCGCGGUAAUACGUAGGGUGCGAGCGUUAAUCGGAAUUACUGGGCGUAAAGCGUGCGCAGGCGGUUUGUUAAGACCGAUGUGAAAUCCCCGGGCUCAACCUGGGAACUGCAUUGGUGACUGGCAAGCUAGAGUAUGGCAGAGGGGGGUAGAAUUCCACGUGUAGCAGUGAAAUGCGUAGAGAUGUGGAGGAAUACCGAUGGCGAAG